rnacentral:rRNA from 1 species
GGGUUGUGAGGUUAAGCGACUAAGCGUACACGGUGGAUGCCCUGGCAGUCAGAGGCGAUGAAGGACGUGCUAAUCUGCGAAAAGCGUCGGUAAGGUGAUAUGAACCGUUACAGCCGGCGAUGUCCGAAUGGGGAAACCCAGUGCAAUUCGUUGCACUAUCGUUAACUGAAUACAUAGGUUAACGAGGCGAACCGGGGGAACUGAAACAUCUAAGUACCCCGAGGAAAAGAAAUCAACCGAGAUUCCCCCAGUAGCGGCGAGCGAACGGGGAGCAGCCCAGAGUCUGAAUCAGCUUGUGUGUUAGUGGAACGGUCUGGAAAGUCCGACGGUACAGGGUGAUAGUCCCGUACACCAAAAUGCACAGGUUGUGAACUCGAAGAGUAGGGCGGGACACGUGGUAUCCUGUCUGAAUAUGGGGGGACCAUCCUCCAAGGCUAAAUACUCCUGACUGACCGAUAGUGAACCAGUACCGUGAGGGAAAGGCGAAAAGAACCCCGGCGAGGGGAGUGAAAAAGAACCUGAAACCGUGUACGUACAAGCAGUGGGAGCACCUUCGGGUGUGACUGCGUACCUUUUGUAUAAUGGGUCAGCGACUUAUAUUCUGUAGCAAGGUUAACCGUAUAGGGGAGCCGCAGGGAAACCGAGUCUUAACUGGGCGUUAAGUUGCAGGGUAUAGACCCGAAACCCGGUGAUCUAGCCAUGGGCAGGUUGAAGGUUGGGUAACACUAACUGGAGGACCGAACCGACUAAUGUUGAAAAAUUAGCGGAUGACUUGUGGCUGGGGGUGAAAGGCCAAUCAAACCGGGAGAUAGCUGGUUCUCCCCGAAAGCUAUUUAGGUAGCGCCUCGUGAAUUCAUCUUCGGGGGUAGAGCACUGUUUCGGCUAGGGGGUCAUCCCGACUUACCAACCCGAUGCAAACUACGAAUACCGAAGAAUGUUAUCACGGGAGACACACGGCGGGUGCUAACGUCCGUCGUGAAGAGGGAAACAACCCAGACCGCCAGCUAAGGUCCCAAAGUCAUGGUUAAGUGGGAAACGAUGUGGGAAGGCACAGACAGCCAGGAUGUUGGCUUAGAAGCAGCCAUCAUUUAAAGAAAGCGUAAUAGCUCACUGGUCGAGUCGGCCUGCGCGGAAGAUGUAACGGGGCUAAACCAUGCACCGAAGCUGCGGCAGCGACACUAUGUGUUGUUGGGUAGGGGAGCGUUCUGUAAGCCUGCGAAGGUGACCUGUGAGGGUUGCUGGAGGUAUCAGAAGUGCGAAUGCUGACAUAAGUAACGAUAAAGCGGGUGAAAAGCCCGCUCGCCGGAAGACCAAGGGUUCCUGUCCAACGUUAAUCGGGGCAGGGUGAGUCGACCCCUAAGGCGAGGCCGAAAGGCGUAGUCGAUGGGAAACAGGUUAAUAUUCCUGUACUUGGUGUUACUGCGAAGGGGGGACGGAGAAGGCUAUGUUAGCCGGGCGACGGUUGUCCCGGUUUAAGCAUGUAGGCUGAUUGUCCAGGCAAAUCCGGAUAAUCAAGGCUGAGGUGUGAUGACGAGGCACUACGGUGCUGAAGUAACAAAUGCCCUGCUUCCAGGAAAAGCCUCUAAGCAUCAGGUAACAUUAAAUCGUACCCCAAACCGACACAGGUGGUCAGGUAGAGAAUACCAAGGCGCUUGAGAGAACUCGGGUGAAGGAACUAGGCAAAAUGGUGCCGUAACUUCGGGAGAAGGCACGCUGGUGUGUAGGUGAAGUCCCUGCGGAUGGAGCUGAGACCAGUCGAAGAUACCAGCUGGCUGCAACUGUUUAUUAAAAACACAGCACUGUGCAAACACGAAAGUGGACGUAUACGGUGUGACGCCUGCCCGGUGCCGGAAGGUUAAUUGAUGGGGUUAUCCGUAAGGAGAAGCUCUUGAUCGAAGCCCCGGUAAACGGCGGCCGUAACUAUAACGGUCCUAAGGUAGCGAAAUUCCUUGUCGGGUAAGUUCCGACCUGCACGAAUGGCGUAAUGAUGGCCAGGCUGUCUCCACCCGAGACUCAGUGAAAUUGAACUCGCUGUGAAGAUGCAGUGUACCCGCGGCAAGACGGAAAGACCCCGUGAACCUUUACUAUAGCUUGACACUGAACAUUGAGCCUUGAUGUGUAGGAUAGGUGGGAGGCUUUGAAGCGUGGACGCCAGUCUGCGUGGAGCCAACCUUGAAAUACCACCCUUUAAUGUUUGAUGUUCUAACGUUGGCCCCUUACCGGGGUUGCGGACAGUGUCUGGUGGGUAGUUUGACUGGGGCGGUCUCCUCCCAAAGCGUAACGGAGGAGCACGAAGGUUAGCUAAUCCUGGUCGGACAUCAGGAGGUUAGUGCAAUGGCAUAAGCUAGCUUGACUGCGAGCGUGACGGCGCGAGCAGGUGCGAAAGCAGGUCAUAGUGAUCCGGUGGUUCUGAAUGGAAGGGCCAUCGCUCAACGGAUAAAAGGUACUCCGGGGAUAACAGGCUGAUACCGCCCAAGAGUUCAUAUCGACGGCGGUGUUUGGCACCUCGAUGUCGGCUCAUCACAUCCUGGGGCUGAAGUAGGUCCCAAGGGUAUGGCUGUUCGCCAUUUAAAGUGGUACGCGAGCUGGGUUUAGAACGUCGUGAGACAGUUCGGUCCCUAUCUGCCGUGGGCGCUGGAGAAUUGAGGGGGCUGCUCCUAGUACGAGAGGACCGGAGUGGACGCAUCACUGGUGUUCGGGUUGUCAUGCCAAUGGCACUGCCCGGUAGCUAAAUGCGGAAGAGAUAAGUGCUGAAAGCAUCUAAGCACGAAACUUGCCCCGAGAUGAGUUCUCCCUGAGACUUUAAGUCUCCUGAAGGAACGUUAAAGACGAUGACGUUGAUAGGCCGGGUGUGUAAGCGCAGCGAUGCGUUGAGCUAACCGGUACUAAUGAACCGUGAGGCUUAACCUUACAACGCCGAAG